rnacentral:rRNA from 1 species
GAUGAACGCUGACAGAAUGCUUAACACAUGCAAGUCGAUUCGAUUUACCUUCGGGUAUUGAGGAUGGCGGACGGGUGAGUAACGCGUAAGGAACUUGCCUCUUGGUCUGGGACAACUGUUGGAAACGACAGCUAAUACCGGAUAUUAUGAGAUUCUCGCAUGGGAAACUUAUGAAAGCUAUAUGCGCCAAGAGAGAGCCUUGCGUUCCAUUAGCUAGUUGGUGGGGUAACGGCCCACCAAGGCGACGAUGGAUAGCCGGCCUGAGAGGGUGAACGGCCACAAGGGGACUGAGACACGGCCCUUACUCCUACGGGAGGCAGCAGUGGGGAAUAUUGGACAAUGGGCCACAAGCCUGAUCCAGCAAUUCUGUGUGCACGAUGAAGGUCUUCGGAUUGUAAAGUGCUUUCAGUUGGGAAGAAGAAAGUGACGGUACCAACAGAAGAAGCGACGGCUAAAUACGUGCCAGCAGCCGCGGUAAUACGUAUGUCGCAAGCGUUAUCCGGAUUUAUUGGGCGUAAAGCGCGUCUAGGCGGAAAAAUAAGUCUGAUGUUAAAAUGCGGGGCUCAACUCCGUAUUGCGUUGGAAACUGUUUUUCUAGAGUACUGGAGAGGUGGGCGGAACUACAAGUGUAGAGGUGAAAUUCGUAGAUAUUUGUAGGAAUGCCGAUGGAGAAGUCAGCUCACUGNACAGAUACUGACGCU